rnacentral:lncRNA from 1 species
ACCUUCAUCAAAGCUGCUGCAGGUCCAUCAGCUUCGUUCCCCUGGAACUAAAGAGCCUUGUAAGAACUUCAUGAGGACCAUUCAUCCAGGGAGUCCUCAACCUCAGUUCUCACAGUCAGUUGUACCCACACCACCAGGUUGACUGCCAGAAAAUGCAGCUCUAGCCAUGUGAGUCCCUUGCUCUUCGCGGGCUCCCUGCAGCCUUCUGAUACAGGUACAAACUCCACAGUUUGGAAUUCGCAGAAUUACUUCAGUCCAGCUCUCUCUGCUUCGCUCCCUGCCGUUAGCCUUGCCCUGCCAAGCCCUGUUCCCUCUGGAGGGAGGACCUUUCCAGGACCGCCUCCGCAGCUGUGUGCUUCUUCUCGAGGGGCCUUCAGCGGGCUGUGCUCCUGGGACACUGGCCGCUGGCCUCCUCCUUCAAAGCCAGCAGAGGCCCCCCUCCCCCAGGAAGUUUUUUUUUUCCUCAUAUUUCUCCAAACUGACCAGCGCCUUGAACAUCAUCUUGAUAAUCAAGUCCACACAGCAGCCCGCAGUGUAUAAACCUUUCUCUUGGUAUUCUUGCCCGGCUAUCCGUGGCGUACCUCCUGCUGAAACAAGAAAGUGAGGGGAGUUCCCACGGUGAGAAUGUGGCUUGGUAUUUUCAUGUAUGUUAAUGAAAAGAUGAAGGUGAAGGAUGUUUGCUAGAAGUUUACUGAUUCUUUAAUGAUACGUGUGACUAUCUUGCUGACUCAAAUAGUAGCUUUCGAAUAUG